rnacentral:rRNA from 1 species
UGGCAAGCGUUGUCCGGAAUUAUUGGGCGUAAAGCGCGCGCAGGCGGAUCAGUUAGUCUGUCUUAAAAGUUCGGGGCUUAACCCCGUGAUGGGAUGGAAACUGUGAUCUAGAGUAUCGGAGAGGAAAGUGGAAUUCCUAGUGUAGCGGUGAAAUGCGUAGAUAUUAGGAAGAACACCAGUGGCGAAGGCGACUUUCUGGAMKAAAACUGACGCUGAGGCGCGAAAGCCAGGGGAGCGAACGGGAUUAGAUACCCCGGUAGUCCUGGCCGUAAACGAUGGGUACUAGGUGUAGGAGGUAUCGACCCCUUCUGUGCCGGAGUUAACGCAAUAAGUACCCCGCCUGGGGAGUACGACCGCAAGGUUGAAACUCAAAGGAAUUGACGGGGGCCCGCACAAGCGGUGGAGUAUGUGGUUUAAUUCGACGCAACGCGGAGAACCUUACCAGGUCUU